GCGCCGGUGGUGUAAUGGCGUAGAGCAUUCCCGCUCGGUCAGUUGGAAGUGCGGGUUCGAAUCCCACCUGGCGCU
rnacentral:tRNA from 1 species